rnacentral:rRNA from 1 species
GUGGAUUAGAUACCCUGGUAGUCCACGCCGUAAACGGUGGGCGCUAGGUGUGGGUUUCCUUCCACGGGAUCCGUGCCGUAGCUAACGCAUUAAGCGCCCCGCCUGGGGAGUACGGCCGCAAGGCUAAAACUCAAAGGAAUUGACGGGGGCCCGCACAAGCGGCGGAGCAUGUGGAUUAAUUCGAUGCAACGCGAAGAACCUUACCUGGGUUUGACAUAUACCGGACGACUGCAGAGAUGUGGUUUCCCUUGUGGUCGGUAUACAGGUGGUGCAUGGCCGUCGUCAACU